rnacentral:rRNA from 1 species
GCAGAGCAUCCUACGGGAGGCAGCAUUGGGGAAUAUUGCACAAUGGGCGCAAGCCUGAUGCAGCCAUGCCGCGUGUAUGAAGAAGGCCUUCGGGUUGUAAAGUACUUUCAGCAGUGAGGAAGGUGGAUAUGUUAAUAGCAUAUUCAUUUGACGUUAGCUGCAGAAGAAGCACCGGCUAACUCCGUGCCAGCAGCCGCGGUAAUACGGAGGGUGCGAGCGUUAAUCGGAAUUACUGGGCGUAAAGCGCAUGCAGGUGGUUUGUUAAGUCAGAUGUGAAAGCCCGGGGCUCAACCUCGGAAUUGCAUUUGAAACUGGCAAACUAGAGUACUGUAGAGGGGGUAGAAUUUCAGGUGUAGCGGUGAAAUGCGUAGAGAUCUGAAGGAAUACCGGUGGCGAAGGCGCCCCCUGGACAGAUACUGACACUCAGAUGCGAAAGCGUGGGGAGCAAACAGGAUUAGAUACCCUGGUAG